AUCCCAAGCAGCCCCCAAGAAGCUUAGGGUCUAAGAACUGGGAACCAGAGUGGAAGGACAGGGAAGGGCAGAUUUUUGCUUCCUUGUCCGUAACAACAGAGUGGGACCAACUCAUCUGUAAGGUCCCUUCAAGGUUUCAGGACUUCAAGAGGAGGAGAUAACCACCCUGGACAUGCCUGAUCCAGAAUUGGGCUUUCUUCAGCAGAACUGCAUGCUUGGAAGUUGAGUAAGAAUGGAGAAUUCAGGCCAUGUGUGCUGAGAAAUCCCAGAUGAAGUGUGCUAAAAAUGCAGAUUUCUGACCUUGGGCAUGGUGCCAGAAAGAAGUUUUAAUGUCCAAGGGUUUUAUGCUUCAAAGAUAGACCCUUGUGAUUGUUGGUUUAAACCUGCAUACUACACAGGAAGAAAUCUGAUAUUCCACUGACUGGAACAUGUAAGAUCCUUGCAACUCAAGAAAAGGUAACAUUAGAAUCACCUGGGAGUUCGUGAGAAAUACAGAAUCUCAAGCUCCAACCCAGAGUACAGAAUCAAGCUCUGUAUUUGGGCGAGAUCCUCCAGUGAUGCCUACAUAGGACAUAGCUUGAGAAGUGCUUGUUUGUAUCAUUGUCUCCCUGACCAAUACGAUUAAACUGUGAUUCC